rnacentral:rRNA from 1 species
GACGAACGCUGGCGGCGUGCCUAAUACAUGCAAGUUGAGCGCUGAAGGUUGGUACUUGUACCGACUGGAUGAGCAGCGAACGGGUGAGUAACGCGUGGGGAAUCUGCCUUUGAGCGGGGGACAACAUUUGGAAACGAAUGCUAAUACCGCAUAAGAACUUUAAACACAAGUUUUAAGUUUGAAAGAUGCAAUUGCAUCACUCAAAGAUGAUCCCGCGUUGUAUUAGCUAGUUGGUGAGGUAAAGGCUCACCAAGGCGAUGAUACAUAGCCGACCUGAGAGGGUGAUCGGCCACAUUGGGAAUGAGACACGGCCCAAACUCCUACGGGAGGCAGCAGUAGGGAAUCUUCGGCAAUGGACGAAAGUCUGACCGAGCAACGCCGCGUGAGUGAAGAAGGUUUUCGGAUCGUAAAACUCUGUUGGUAGAGAAGAACGUUGGUGAGAGUGGAAAGCUCAUCAAGUGACGGUAACUACCCAGAAAGGGACGGCUAACUACGUG